CCCAGCAGCCAUAUCACCCUGCAGCUCACAACUAGCAGCCCACCGGAGCUCAGCAGGUGUGAGCCUGGUCAGUACCUCGAUGGGAGACCUCCUGGGAAAGCUAAGGCUGCUGCUGGAA
rnacentral:rRNA from 1 species